CUAUGCCAUGAACUGUUUUUAUGAAGAGGCACAUAACCGAUAAAAAGGUUUGUGCAUCAAAACCCAAUAUCUACAGUCCACAACUAUCAAAAGAUUUCUGCAAUACGCUACACUUCAAACUUCCCUCUCCAUUAUAUGAUUCUAAGCUUCAUGAUCUGUUUCUAUGAAGCGGCACAAAACCGAUAAAAAGGUUUGUGCAUCAAAUCUCAACAACUACUGUCCACUACUCUAAGAUUUCUGCAAUGCGCUACAUGUGAAACUUCCUCCUCCAUUACAUGGUUCUCUGUGCCAUGAACCGUUUUUAUGAAGAGGCACACAACCGAUUAAAAAGGUUUGUGCAUUAAAGCUCAAUCUCUAUGGUCCACUACUCUUAAAAGAUUUCUGCAAUGUGCUACAUGUGAAACUUCCUCAUCCUAUAGUUGAUUCUCUAUGCCAUGAACUUUUAUGAAGAGGCACACAACCAAUAAAAAGUGCAUUUACAGAUUUCUGCAAUACGCUACUUCAAACUUCCCUCUCCAUUAUAUGAUUCUCUACACCAUUUACUGUUUCCAUGAAGAGGCACACAACCGAUUAAAAAGAUUUCUGCAAUAUGCUACACUUCAAACUUCCUUCUCCAUUAUAUGAUUCUCUGCUCCAUUAACUAUUUUUAUGAAGCAGCACAAAUCUGUUUAAGAAGGUUUGUGCAUCAAAACUCAAUAUCUACUGUCCACUACUCCCAGAAGAUUUCUGCAAUACACUACACUUCAAACUUCCUUCUCCAUUAUAUGAUUCUCCGCUCCAUGAAUUGUUUUUGAAGCAGCACAAAACCAAAAGAAAGGUUUGUGCAUCAAAACCCAAUAUCUACUGUCCACUACUAUCAAAAGAUUUCUGCAAUACGCUACAUGUGAAACUUCCUCCUUAUGCUUUAUUUGAUUCUCCACUCCAUGAACUGUUUUUAUGAAGCAGCACAAAACCAAUAAAAAGGUUUGUGCAUCAAAACUCAAUCUCUACUGUCCACUACUCGCAAAAGAUUUCUGCAAAACGCUACACUUCAAACUUCCUUCUCCAUUAUAUGAUUCUCCACUCCAUGAACUUUCUAUGAAGCAGCACAAAACCGAUUAAAAAGGUUUGUGCAUCAAAACUCAAUAUCUACUGUCCACUACUCCCAAAAGGUUUCUGCAAUGCGCUACACUUCAAACUUCCUUCUCCAUUAUGAUUCUCCAGUCCAUGAACUGUUUUUAUGAAGCACACAACCGAUAAAAAUAAAAGUGAAUACAAAACCAUUGUUCAAAUAUCUUCAGAAAAUGUCCCAGCAAAACUCUAAACUGAUGCAGGCAUUCAAUAGUCAAAGUUAUUAAACAAAUGAAUAACCGCAAAAGUAACACAAUUAUAUAUUAAAUAUUGGAUGGAUGGCUUGUAUUAUAUUAAAGGCUAUGUACAGCAAAUUUAGAUGCCAGCCAAAGGAGGAUGGCUUGCCCCUGCUGAGUCUGGUUCCUCCCAAGGUUUCUCCCUAUACCUCUCUGCUGAUGAUGCUUCUCUUCACUAAUUUAGGGAGUUUUUCCUUGCCACUGUUGCCUUCUGGCUUGCUCACUGGGGUAUUAAGGCACAAUAUUUUCAAUG
ensembl:lncRNA